GGACGAUUCCAAGGAUCACUGUUGUUGCUAAUUUUUUUUCUUUUAAAAAAUACAGAUAUUUUUAAUAAAAGUAUGUUAAUUAUGUUAACCUGUAAUGGGCUUAUUAUUUCAAAAUCAAUUAACAAUGUAAAUAUUUAAAACUUCUGUGUUAAAAUUUCUAAUAGUAUAAAUAGCAGUAGAUUUAGCCCACUCUAAGGGAGAUGGUUGUGCUUUAGUCAGGAGUAGGCCGAGGCAGCCUUCUGGUGCAGCAUGACUCAGUGGGUUUGGAGGCAGGCACACAACUCCACACAUUAUGUAACCAUGCCAUGUGAGGUGCAUUAGGUGACCACUCAUAUGAGCACGUGCUUGGCUCAAAGCCACUAUUGUCUGUAAAAGGUAAAAUUACCCUGCUGACACUACAUAUGGCUUGCACCCAGAGAGAGAAUAAAGCCAUGUCGAAACCGCCUACUCGAGUGUUUUUCCAGUUACCUGCCACCCACCCACCAACUCCCCUUGGACUUUAGUUUGGGCUAGAACCUGACAAUUGGCAUCACGAACAGGAUCCUAAGGUAAGUGAGCCUUCGGUCCCUGCUGAUUCCAGGUUGGCCAUGUGACCACAACAUGGGUUGUGGUACCCGGUGGUAGCCGUGCUGUGAGGGUGGGCCUGAGUGGAAACCUGGGUGGCAGUAGAUGGGUCCCCCAUGAGCAUGGAGAAGGCGCUGAAGCAGCUGGAAGUGCAGAGCACCAAGAAGGAGAGAGCCUUUGCUGGCAGAGUUGGAUGGGCAUUUUUAACUGUGCUAAGAAAAGUACACACCCAGUCCCUGAGGGAUGCAGACUGGAGGUCUGGCUACACCGAUCUGGAAAAUAAUUAGAGGCUGCCAUGAAUGGGGACCUCCAGGUGCAGGCAGGAUGCCUGGAGGUGUGGCUUCAGAGCUUGGAAAAGGAAUUAGAGGCUACCAUGAAUGCAGGCCUGGGUCCAUCAUCUUGUCUGGAGAUCCCCACUCAGUUUCAUACCAAGGAGGAAGAACCCCUGUUGCGGGCUCACCCGGUGGUCUGACAGAAGGUAGAUCAUGAACAGCCACUGGGGCUCCAAGGGUGGACUCAGGGACUCCCCACCAUAAUGCAACACAUUUCGUAUAUUGCCUGUACCCCAACUGAGUUGCAGGAAUUAGGCAAGCAGUGUUGCCAGUGUCCAGGGGAACCCCUGCCUGCCUGGAUGCUUCGUCUGUGGAACAAGGGAGCAGAUGGUAUCUCCCAUUCCACCUCUGAGAUGGACAAGCUGGCCUCCACCAUGACUCACCCCUCUCUCUGUCAGCGGCUGCAAGUGAGCAGGUGGUUAGUGGCAGCGCAAGGAGACCACACCCUGACUGAGUGGCUACAGGCAGCCAUAUGAACUGUGUGGAAUAAUGCUGGUGAAAUGCCCAAAACUAUUUAGAAGCAGUGGCACCCCUCUUGUGGCAACAUUUGGCAGCAUGCAGUUGGGCCAUCAACAAAUCCAAGGUCCGAGGGCCUGGAUUACCUGCUAAAUUCUUGGGAGUUAUCUGGUCGGGGCUGAAGUUCCAGGCUGGACCUGAUGCUCCAAACCUUGAAUGAAUGGCCAUGGAAAAGCAGCCCAGCCCAGGUGGAGGCUUUGUUACAUGGGCCACCACCCCUAUUCAGUUGCAGAUACACACCAAGGGUAACCGCCUCUGACCAGGUUAACAUGCUCCAACUGCAUUGUGGACUGGGCCCACACCUACACUGAAGUGACCAAUGUUUCCAACUGUUGGAUCUGCACCGCCCUUCUAGCAGCUGCAGAUGGCUUGCCUUAGCACAUACAUUCAGCAUCUGCAGAGAACCAGACAUGGCUGGAGACUUGGGGUCCCAUGGCUGAUGCCUGGAACGCAACGUGGCAAGUUUUGGACAAAGGAUGCCACAAGACCCACAGCACAGCCAUUCCCUGGCUGGCCCAUAGCAUUUAUGAUGGGUGGGGCUGGCUAGUGAGGUAACGUGCAGUACCCCUGGCCCAGGCACUGUGGUGCAUAUAGCAACACUGGGGUAAUAGCACUGUGGGAUGGGUACCCGUCACAGUGUGUGUAAGCAUAAUACAUGUCACCACACCAAAGGUAUGGUGGAAGACGCGGCCCCACCAAGGGGCCUCGAUGGACUGUGUGCCCCCUGGGAGUUUAUGGGUCUGUGGGGACACAGGGUGGCCUUACCUAUAAGCAAACUGGACUGGACAUUAUACCUGAGGGUGGCCUCAUGUACCUGCCACUGUUCUCACAUUGCCCAGAUGCCUGCAUAACUGGGAGGUGCUACACUCUCGGUUUUUGCAAGUGUAAUGAGCACCCUGGUGGUUUUACCCCUUGACAGGCACUAGCCCUGGAGUGUGUGUCACAACUGUAGAAGCCAAGUUACUGCUCUUGCAGAGCAUGCUGCUCAGGCUCUGAAUUACACCUGAGUGGCCCUCUUCCCAUUAAUGGAUGAGGUUGAUCAGAUCAGAAAGGUGGUGUUGCGAAACCGAAUGGUCUUAGACAUAGUAACUGCUGCCUAAGGAGGCACCUGUGCCCUUUUAGGAACACAAUGUUGUACCUUUAUCCCUGACAAUUGGCAGAACAUAACAGCAGCCCUGCAAGGGGUCUCACAGGAGAUUAAGGUAGUCAAGAGCCUUACUGAUGACCCCCUGCAGAGAUGGUAGACAUCCCUGGGCUCUGGCCUACGCUGGGCCCUGAUAGUCAUAAGUAGCAUAGCUGGAAUCCUAGUCGUGAGCUGUUGCUCUCCGUAUUGUUGCUGUGGAUUAUGGAUUCAGGGCUCCACCCUACGGGCACAUGUCCCUACCUGGAGGAUGCCCCUGGCCUAGGGGUGGAGUGUAAGGAAGAUGGCUGCGCUUUAGUCAGGAGCAGGCUGAGGCCACUUUUUGGUGCACCAUGACUCAGUGGGUUUGGAGCGUAGGCACACGACUCCGCACAUUAUGAACCAUGCCACUUGAGGUGCAUUAGGUGACCACUCACGUGAGCUCGUGAUUGCUUCAGAGCCUCUAUUGUCUGUAAAAGGUAUAAUUACCCUGCUGACACUGGACAUAUGGCUCGUGCCCAGAGAGAGGAUAAGGCCAUGUUCAAACUGCCUAUGAUUCCUCGGGUGUUUUUUCAGCUACCCCUCACCCACCCACCAACUCCCUUCGGACUUCAGUUUGGGCUAGAACCUUACACCCACAUAAACUAAAGCUGUAUGGGGUCCUCAGUUUUCAAGCACAUAAAAGUAUUCUGUAUCCAAAAAGUUUGUGAACCACUGCCCUAGAGAAACUUUCCAUGGCGUGCAAGAUGUAUGUAAGAAUGCCCAGUAGAGACAUAAUAAGAAACCAGAAAAAGUGGAAAUCUCAAUGCCUGUCAUCAAGAGAGAUAAAUGCAGCGUGGUCUAUUUCUGUUCUCCUCACAUUGCCCAGAUGCCUGCUUAACUGGGAGGCGUUAUGUUCUCAGUUUUUGCAAGUGUCAUAAAGGAGUGAAUGGAGCAUUACCUGUCAUUAUAGACACUGCAAAAUGAGCUAGUAGCAGGAUUUUUACCACAGGUACCCAUAAGCAACAUGUGGCAUGGUUCACCAUGGUUUUACAUUGUUGUGUAAAUAACUUAAAAUUAUGUGAAUAAUGUAAAAGCAUGGUGAACAAUGCCAUGUUUUGCUUAUGGGUACCUGCGGUAAAAAGCAAAAAUCAUGACCCUGAAGGGGUGAGCAGGCCUACAGGUGCUGGGCAGGCACUGUCUUGCAAAGAGCACAAAAUGUGCAGGUCCCUCUGGGAGUGUUAUAGUGGGUAGCUAGUCAGAAAGAGCAGGGCAGGAGAGGGCUCCCCAUACCCCACACACCAGGAGUGUCAGGUGACCAUCAGGUGAUGGUCUGGCGGUUGUUGACUGUCUUUCUAAAGUAAUAAUUGGUCACACCCGGCAACAGGGAAAAGCCGGCUCCUAAUAGAUAGAAAACACUCGAAACUGGUGAGCAGUAGUUUCCCUAUAAGAUCUCAGGAGUUGAGCCAGUGGGCUCAGGCAGGCACAUGGGACAGCCCACCCCAAGGGAAGAACCAGGGGAGAAAUAACGCAAGACCCCGAAAGCAUGCUGACGUAUAAAACCCCAAGUCAAAAGGUCAAACCACGCACUUGCUUUUUAAGUCGUCCACUUGGCCCUCUUCCAAGUGUACUUUCCUUCCUUUUGUUCCUAUUCUAAAGCUUUUAAAUAAACUUUUACUCCUGUGCUAAAA
rnacentral:lncRNA from 1 species